AAUCAACGCUGGCGGCGUGCCUCAGACAUGCAAGUUGAACGAUUAAAGCUCUCUUCGGAGAGUGCAUAAAGUGGCGCACGGGUGAGUAACACGUAAGUAAUCUACCCUCGAGUGGGGAAUAACGUCCGGAAACGGACGCUAAUACCGCAUAACGCAGCGGCACCGCAAGGUGACAGUUGUUAAGGGAGAAAUUCGCUUGAGGAGGAGCUUGCGGCAGAUUAGCUGUUGGUAAGGUAACGGCUUACCAAGGCUACGAUCUGUAACCGGUCUAAGAGGACGGUCGGUCACACUGACACUGAAUAACGGGUCAGACUCCUACGGGAGGCAGCAGUCGGGAAUUUUGGGCAAUGGGGGAAACCCUGACCCAGCAACGCCGCGUGAAGGAUGUAGUAUUUCGGUAUGUAAACUUCGAAAGAAUAGGAAGAAUAAAUGACGGUACUAUUUAUAAGGUCCGGCUAACUACGUGCCAGCAGCCGCCGUAAG
rnacentral:rRNA from 1 species